rnacentral:rRNA from 1 species
UACGAAGGGGGCUAGCGUUGUUCGGAAUCACUGGGCGUAAAGCGCACGUAGGCGGAUUGUUAAGUCGGGGGUGAAAUCCUGAGGCUCAACCUCAGAACUGCCUUCGAUACUGGCGAUCUUGAGUCCGGAAGAGGUUGGUGGAACAGCUAGUGUAGAGGUGAAAUUCGUAGAUAUUAGCUAGAACACCAGUGGCGAAGGUGGCCAACUGGUCCGGAACUGACGCUGAGGUGCGAAAGCGUGGGGAGCAAACAGG